rnacentral:rRNA from 1 species
UAGUCCACGCCGUAAACGAUGGAUGCUAGCCGUUGGUAAGCAUGCUUAUCAGUGGCGCAGCUAACGCAUUAAGCAUCCCGCCUGGGGAGUACGGCCGCAAGGUUGAAACUCAGAGGAAUUGACGGGGGCCCGCACAAGCGGUGGAGCAUGUGGUUUAAUUCGACGCAACGCGCAGAACCUUACCAGGCCUUGACAUCCCGUGCUACGUCCAGAGAUGGACGGUCCCCGCAAGGGGCGCGGUGACAGGUGCUGCAUGGCUGUCGUCAGCUCGUGUCGUGAGAUGUUGGGUUAAGUCCCGCAACGAGCGCAACCCUCGCCUUUAGUUGCCAUCAUUUAGUUGGGCACUCUAAAGGGGACCNCCGGGCGACAAGCCGGAGGAAGGUGGGGAUGACGUCAAGUCCUCAUGGCCCUUACGGCCUGGGCUACACACGUGCUACAAUGGCGUGACAAUGGGCAGCGACCUCGCGAGAGGUAGCGAAUCCCAAAAGCCGUCCAGUUC